GUAACUAAGGGUCCUUGACUUCUUGGAUGAUAGGCUUGGCAGCAAGCCAGGAAAAUAGUGAUAAUUUAGAGAGAGGGAUCGUGUACAAUAUUUUAAUGAUCCAAUAUUAUCUACUUAACUCCAUCAGGAGGGAGAAAUAGGAAAUGGUGAGCCAUUUUUAUGAAACAUGUAAUUAGUUCUGGAAAAGUUUGGUAUAGCUGUCUGAUCUUACUAGAACAAAGCAAGAGGGAUUUGGCUUCUAUUGGUACUUCUGGACUUGGGAGUGCAUACGGAGAGUGCUGCUCUGCAGAACUCAAGUCUAAAGAGGUCCUUUUCUGGGACAGUUAAAACAAACAACAACAAGCCCUUGCCACGCUCCCAGACUACUGCCUCACCAGGAUGGAGCUCUUAUGCAUUAUACAUGUUAAACAUCUCCUAUUCAGAGCUAACUUUGACUUUGUGCCCUGGGCCAGUCGACUUUUUGGCAAAAUACUGCAUCUUCAGCCAGGAGAAGUUGGCAAAGUACAAAAGGGCUUUUGAAGCGACUGCUUCCCUCUGCUGGCCCUCUCCAUUGUCUAACGCAUCAUUCAAACACAGACUGUAAUGCAUGCUGGGAUCUUUGAAAAGGAC
rnacentral:lncRNA from 1 species